UAUUAAAAAUUUCAUUCAUUUAUACUAUUAAAAACUGAUAUGAUUAAUAGAAAAAAUCAAACUAUCACAAUUAUUAUGCCACAUGUAUCUCGUACUGACAUAUAUGAAAAAGUUUUUAACAGUAGAAGUGGUUGAAAUUUGUAACA
rfam:Gossypium hirsutum cultivar TM-1 chromosome 5, whole genome shotgun sequence